rnacentral:rRNA from 1 species
AGUGAACGCUGGCGGCAGGCCUAACACAUGCAAGUCGAGCGGCAGCGCGGGGGCAACCCUGGCGGCGAGCGGCGGACGGGUGAGGAAUGCGUCGGAAUCUGCCUCUUUGUGGGGGAUAACGUAGGGAAACUUACGCUAAUACCGCAUACGACCUACGGGUGAAAGUGGGGGACCUUCGGGCCUCACGCAGAGAGAUGAGCCGACGCCGGAUUAGCUAGUUGGCGGGGUAAAGGCCACCAAGGCGACGAUCCGUAGAUGGUCUGAGAGGAUGAUCAGCCACACUGGAACUGAGGCACGGUCCAGACUCCUACGGGAGGCAGCAGUGGGGAAUAGUGGACAAUGGGCGCAAGCCUGAUCCAGCCAUGCCGCGUGUGUGAAGAAGGCCUUCGGGUUGUAAAGCACUUUUGUCCGGAAAGAAAAGCUUCCGAUUAAUACUCGGGAGUCAUGACGGUACCGGAAGAAUAAGCACCGGCUAACUUCGUGCCAGCCGCCGCGGUAACAC